UACAGAGGUCUCAAGCGUUGUUCGGAUUCAUUGGGCGUAAAGGGUGUGUAGGUGGCGCGCUAAGUCGGGUGUGAAAUUUCGGAGCUUAACUCCGAAACUGCAUUUGAUACUGGCGUGCUUGAGGACUGGAGAGGAGACUGGAAUUCAUGGUGUAGCAGUGAAAUGCGUAGAGAUCAUGAGGAAGACCAGUGGCGAAGGCGGGUCUCUGGACAGUUCCUGACACUGAGACACGAAGGCCAGGGGAGCAAACGGG
rnacentral:rRNA from 1 species